GAUGAACGCUGGCGGCGUGCCUAAUACAUGUAAGUCGAGCGAACAGACGAGGAGCUUGCUCCCCUGACGUUAGCGGCGGACGGGUGAGUAACACGUGGAUAACCUACCUAUAAGACUGGGAUAACUUCGGGAAACCGGAGCUAAUACCGGAUAAUAUAUUGAACCGCAUGGUUCAAUAGUGAAAGACGGUUUUCCUGUCACUUAUAGAUGGAUCCGCGCCGCAUUAGCUAGUUGGUAAGGUAACGGCCUACCAAGGCAACGAUGCGUAGCCGACCUGAGAGGGUGAUCGGCCACACUGGAACUGAGACACGGUCCAGACUCCUACGGGAGGCAGCAGUAGGGAAUCUUCCGCAAUGGGCGAAAGCCUGACGGAGCAACGCCGCGUGAGUGAUGAAGGUCUUCGGAUCGUAAAACUCUGUUAUUAGGGAAGAACAAAUGUGUAAGUAACUAUGCACGUCUUGACGGUACCUAAUCAGAAAGCCACGGCUAACUACGUG
rnacentral:rRNA from 1 species